UACGUAGGGUGCAAGCGUUAAUCGGAAUUACUGGGCGUAAAGCGUGCGCAGGCGGUUUUGUAAGCCAGAUGUGAAAUCCCCGGGCUCAACCUGGGAAUGGCAUUUGGGACUGCAAGGCUGGAGUGCGGCAGAGGAGACUGGAAUUCCCGGUGUAGCAGUGAAAUGCGUAGAUAUCGGGAGGAAUACCGAUGGCGAAGGCAGGUCUCUGGGCUGACACUGACGCUCAUGCACGAAAGCGUGGGGAGCAAACAGG
rnacentral:rRNA from 1 species